rnacentral:rRNA from 1 species
AGCGUCACAGCUUAAUCGCAAAACAGAUCAAAUUACAAAAAUAUUCAUGAGCCCCACUUUAGUACCAAGUAAUUCUAUACCUUUAUAGAACCUUUUAUGUUAAAACUAGUAACAAGAAGAACCCCCUUCUCUUUAAUGCAAGCAUAAAUCAGUCAGGACCAACCACUGAUAAUUAACACCCAUGAGCCCACAGUAGAAACACCACAAGAAAACCCUACUAUACCCUGUGUUAACCUAACACAAGAGCAUUACAAGAAAGAUUAAAAGAAAAAGAAGGAACUCGGCAAACAUUAACCCCGCCUGUUUACCAAAAACAUCGCCUCUUGACAAACUUAUAAGAGGUCCAGCCUGCCCAGUGACUCUGUUCAACGGCCGCGGUAUCCUAACCGUGCGAAGGUAGCGUAAUCACUUGUUCUUUAAAUGAGGACUAGUAUGAAUGGCAUCACGAAGGUUAUACUGUCUCCUUUUUCUAAUCAGUGAAACUAAUCUUCCCGUGAAGAAACGGGAAUAAAAAUAUAAGACGAGAAGACCCUAUGGAGCUUUAAACAAAUAUACACCUGCCUCUUUACCAAAAAUUUCAGAAGACAAGUAAUUACCCGGGCAUUUUGAUAUAGCGUUUUAGGUUGGGGUGACCACGGAGCAAAAAAUAACCUCCGCAGCGAACGGGAGUAUUCCCUAAACCAAGGGCCACAACCCCAAGUAUUGAUAAAUCAACACCAAUUGAC